AGCGAACGCUGGCGGCAUGCUUAACACAUGCAAGUCUCACGGGCAGCAAUGUCAGUGGCGGACGGGUGAGUAACGCGUAGGUACUACCCUCAGGACUGGAUAGCCACGGGAAACUGUGGGUAAUACCAGAUAAUGUCUCCGGACCAAAGGUGUGAUUCCGCCGGAGGAGGGGCCUACGUCCUAUUAGCUUGUUGGCAGGGUAACGGCCUACCAAGGCAUUGAUGGGUAUGGGGUGUGAGAGCAUGCCCCCACUCACUGGGACUGAGACACUGCCCAGACACCUACGGGUGGCUGCAGUCGAGGAUCUUCGGCAAUGGGCGCAAGCCUGACCGAGCGACGCCGCGUGCGGGAUGAAGGCCUUCGGGUUGUAAACCGCUGUCAGAGGGGAGGAAAUUCCGGUGGGUUCUCCCAUCGGUUUGACCUAUCUUCAGAGGAAGUACGGGCUAAGUUCGUGCCAGCAGCCGCGGUAAGACGAACCGUACAAACGUUAUUCGGAAUCACUGGGCUUAAAGGGUGCGUAGGCGGCCCGGAAAGUUGGGUGUGAAAGCCCUCGGCUCAACCGAGGAACUGCGCCCAAAACUACCGGGCUCGAGGAAGAUAGAGGUGAGCGGAACUUAGGGUGGAGCGGUGAAAUGCGUUGAUAUCCUAAGGAACACCAGUGCGAAAGCGGCUCACUGGGUCUUUUCUGACGUUGAGGCACGAAAGCUAGGGGAGCGAAGAGGAUUAGAUACCCUCGUAGUCCUAGCUGUAAACGAUGAGCAAUGGGUUGGAGGGUCCUCCAUAGCCCUCUAGCCGUAGCGAAAGCGUUAAGUGCUCCGCCUGGGGAGUAUGGUCGCAAAGCUG
rnacentral:rRNA from 1 species